UACGGCGAGUGAGCGGGAAGAGCUCAAAUUUGAAAUCUGGUAGCCUUCGGUUGCCCGAGUUGUAAUCUAGAGAAGUGUUUUCCGUGCCGGCCCAUGUACAAGUCCCUUGGAACAGGGCGUCAUAGAGGGUGAGAAUCCCGUCCUUGACAUGGACCCCCGGUGCUUUGUGAUACACUUUCAACGAGUCGAGUUGUUUGGGAAUGCAGCUCAAAAUGGGUGGUGAAUUCCAUCUAAAGCUAAAUAUUGGCGAGAGACCGAUAGCGAACAAGUACCGUGAGGGAAAGAUGAAAAGCACUUUGGAAAGAGAGUUAAACAGUACGUGAAAUUGUUGAAAGGGAAACGAUUGAAGUCAGUCAUGCUCUUGGGACUUACCUCCCUUGAGUGGGGUCAACAUCAGUUUUGAUCGAUGGAUAAAGGCACGGGGAAGGUAGCACUCUCGGGUGAACUUAUAGCCUCGCGUCAUAUACAUUGAUUGGGACUGAGGAACGCAGCAUGCCUUAUGGCCGGGAUUCGUCCACGUACAUGCUUAGGAUGUUGACAUAAUGGCUUUAAACGACCCGUCUUGAAACACGGACCA
rnacentral:rRNA from 1 species